AUUGAACGCUGGCGGCAGGCCUAACACAUGCAAGUCGAGCGAGCGGCGGACGUGUUAGUAAUGUAUGUGGAUCUGCCUGAUGGAUGGGGAUAGCUACUGGAAACUGUAGCUAAUACCGCAUACCAUCAGAUGAACCCAUAUGGGUUUAGCUUGUAGGUGAGGCAACGGCUCACAUAGGCGACGAUCCCUAGCUGGUCUGAGAGGAUGACCAGUCACACUGGAACUGAGACACGGCCCAGACUCCUACGGGAGGCAGCAGUGGGGAAUAUUGCACAAUGGGCGCAAGCCUGAUGCAGCCAUGCCGCGUGUAUGAAGAAGGCCUUCGGGUUGUAAAGUACUUUCAGUCGGGAGGCGUUACCGGCAGAAGAAGCACCGGCUAACUCCGUGCCAGCAGCCGCGGUAAUUC
rnacentral:rRNA from 1 species